rnacentral:rRNA from 1 species
CAAUAGCGUAUAUUAAAGUUGUUGCAGUUAAAAAGCUCGUAGUUGAAUUUUUGCUUGCCGCCGAUGUCGGAACUUCCGUACGUUCGGCGGCGUGCAUCCUUGGGUGGAACCUGUGUGGCAUUAGGUUGUCGUGCAGGGGAUGCUCAUCGUUUACUGUGAAAAAAUUAGAGUGUUCAAAGCAGGCUUACGCCGUUGAAUAUAUUAGCAUGGAAUAAUAAGAUAGGACCUUGGUACUAUUUUGUUGGUUUGCGCACCGAGGUAAUGAUUAACAGGGACAGUUGGGGGUAUUCGUAUUCCAUUGUCAGAGGUGAAAUUCUUGGAUUUCUGGAAGACGAACUACUGCGANANCAUUUANCAAGGAUGUUNUCAUUNA